UACGUAGGGGGCUAGCGUUGUCCGGAUUUAUUGGGCGUAAAGAGCGUGUAGGCGGCCAAGUAGGUCCGGUGUGAAAACUCGAGGCUUAACCUCGAGAUGUCAUCGGAAACCAUUUGGCUAGAGUCCGGAAGAGGAAAGUGGAAUUCCUGGUGUAGCGGUGAAAUGCGUAGAUAUCGGGAGGAACAUCAAUGGCGAAGGCGGCUUUCUGGACUAAUACUGACACUGAGGCACGAAAGCGUGGGGAGCAAACAGG
rnacentral:rRNA from 1 species